rnacentral:rRNA from 6 species
GGCGACGACGGGUAGCCGGCCUGAGAGGGUGACCGGCCACACUGGGACUGAGACACGGCCCAGACUCCUACGGGAGGCAGCAGUGGGGAAUAUUGCACAAUGGGCGCAAGCCUGAUGCAGCGACGCCGCGUGAGGGAUGACGGCCUUCGGGUUGUAAACCUCUUUCAGUAGGGAAGAAGCGAAAGUGACGGUACCUGCAGAAGAAGCACCGGCUAACUACGUGCCAGCAGCCGCGGUAAUACGUAGGGUGCGAGCGUUAUCCGGAAUUAUUGGGCGUAAAGAGCUCGUAGGCGGUUUGUCGCGUCUGUCGUGAAAGUCCGGGGCUUAACCCCGGAUCUGCGGUGGGUACGGGCAGACUAGAGUGCAGUAGGGGAGACUGGAAUUCCUGGUGUAGCGGUGG